ACGCGGUAUUCAGAAUUAAAGCAAAUUGACAUUGAAAAUGACAAUGCACGGCAAUUUAUAAUGGCAUUCAGUUCGCUAAUGACCGACCGACAAAGAAUAAGGAUCUUUAAUGAUAUUCCCUAGAUCGUUUUAAAUGUUGUAUUUUGACGUUGUUUCAAAAAGAAAUAUUAAUAAUAACAAUAAUAAAAAUUGUGCCAUAAUAUUGUUUUAUCCGUAGUUUCAA